rnacentral:rRNA from 1 species
AUUGAACGCUGGCGGCAGGCCUAACACAUGCAAGUCGAGCGGAUGAAGUGUGCUUGCUCCUGGAUUCAGCGGCGGACGGGUGUGUAAUGCCUAGGAAUCUGCCUGGUAGUGGUUGAUAACGUCCGUAAACGGGCGCUAAUACCGCAUACGUCCUGUUGUAGAAAGUUGUGGUUCUUCUUACCUCUCGCUUUCUUAUGUUCCUAGUUCGGAUUAGCUAGUUGGUGGGGUAAAGUCCUACCAAGGCUACGAUCCGUAACUGGUCUGAGAGGAUGAUCAGUCAAACUGGAACUGAGACACGGUACAGACGAGUACGGGAGGCAGCAGUGGGGAAUAUUGGACAAUGGGCGAAAGCAUGAUAAAGAAAAGCCGCGUGUGUGAAGAAGGUCUUCGGAUUGGAAAGAACUUUAAGUUGGGAGGAAGGGAAGUAAGAUAAUACAUUGAUGUAUUGACGUUAACAAAAGAAUAAGCACCGGCUAACUACGUG